rnacentral:rRNA from 1 species
UACGGAGGGUGCGAGCGUUGUCCGGAAUCACUGGGCGUAAAGGGCGCGUAGGUGGCGCGGGCAGUCAACGGUGAAAGUUCGGGGCUCAACCCUGAAUCGGCCGUCGAUACUCCCGGGCUUGAGCACUGUAGAGGCAGAUGGAAUUCCGGGUGUAGCGGUGGAAUGCGUAGAGAUCCGGAAGAACACCGGUGGCGAAGGCGGUCUGCUGGGCAGUGGCUGACACUGAGAGACGAAAGCUAGGGGAGCAAAUGGG